AUUGAACGCUGGCGACAUGCCUUACACAUGCAAGUCGAACGGUAACGGGUCCUUCGGGAUGCCGACGAGUGGCGAACGGGUGAGUAAUAUAUCGGAACGUGCCCAGUAGUGGGGGAUAACUGCUCGAAAGAGCAGCUAAUACCGCAUACGACCUGAGGGUGAAAGGGGGGGAUCGCAAGACCUCUCGCUAUUGGAGCGGCCGAUAUCAGAUUAGCUAGUUGGUGGGGUAAAGGCCUACCAAGGCAACGAUCUGUAGUUGGUCUGAGAGGACGACCAGCCACACUGGGACUGAGACACGGCCCAGACUCCUACGGGAGGCAGCAGUGGGGAAUUUUGGACAAUGGGCGCAAGCCUGAUCCAGCAAUGCCGCGUGCAGGAAGAAGGCCUUCGGGUUGUAAACUGCUUUUGUCAGGGAAGAAAUCUUCUGGGCUAAUACCCCGGGAGGAUGACGGUACCUGAAGAAUAAGCACCGGCUAACUACGUGCCAGCAGCCGCGGUAAUACGUAGGGUGCGAGCGUUAAUCGGAAUUACUGGGCGUAAAGCGUGCGCAGGCGGCUUUGCAAGACAGAUGUGAAAUCCCCGGGCUCAACCUGGGAACUGCAUUUGUGACUGCAAGGCUAGAGUACGGCAGAGGGGGAUGGAAUUCCGCGUGUAGCAGUGAAAUGCGUAGAUAUGCGGAGGAACACCAAUGGCGAAGGCAAUCCCCUGGGCCUGUACUGACGCUCAUGCACGAAAGCGUGGGGAGCAAACAGGAUUAGAUACCCUGGUAGUCCACGCCCUAAACGAUGUCAACUGGUUGUUGGACGGCUUGCUGUUCAGUAACGAAGCUAACGCGUGAAGUUGACCGCCUGGGGAGUACGGCCGCAAGGUUGAAACUCAAAGGGAUUGACGGGGACCCGCACAAGCGGUGGAUGAUGUGGUUUAAUUCGAUGCAACGCGAAAAACCUUACCUACCUUUGACAUGUCAAGAAUUCUGCAGAGAUGUGGAAGUGCUCGAAAGAGAACUUGAACACAGGUGCUGCAUGGCCGUCGUCAGCUCGUGUCGUGAGAUGUUGGGUUAAGUCCCGCAACGAGCGCAACCCUUGUCAUUAGUUGCUACGCAAGAGCACUCUAAUGAGACUGCCGGUGACAAACCGGAGGAAGGUGGGGAUGACGUCAGGUCCUCAUGGCCCUUAUGGGUAGGGCUACACACAUCAUACAAUGGCCGGUACAGAGGGCUGCCAACCCGCGAGGGGGAGCCAAUCCCAGAAAACCGGUCGUAGUCCGGAUCGUAGUCUGCAACUCGACUGCGUGAAGUCGGAAUCGCUAGUAAUCGCGGAUCAGCUUGCCGCGGUGAAUACGUUCCCGGGUCU
rnacentral:rRNA from 1 species